rnacentral:rRNA from 1 species
GCAUAUCAAUAAGCGGAGGAAAAGAAACCAACAGGGAUUACCUUCAGUAACGGCGAAGUGAAGCGGUAACAGCUCAAAUUUGAAAUCUGGCCUCACGGUCCGAGUUGUAAUUUGUAGAGGAKGCUUCGAGCAUGGUCUGGCCUAAGUUCCUUGGAACAGGACGUCAUAGAGGGUGAGAAUCCCGUAUGCGGCCAGGUGCCUACGCUCAUGUGAAGCUCCUUCGACGAGUCGAGUUGUUUGGGAAUGCAGCUCAAAAUGGGUGGUAAAUUUCAUCUAAAGCUAAAUAUUGGCCAGAGACCGAUAGCGCACAAGUAGAGUGAUCGAAAGAUGAAAAGCACUUUGGAAAGAGAGUUAAACAGUACGUGAAAUUGUUGAAAGGGAAGCGCUUGCAACCAGACUUGCGCGCGGCCGAUCAUCCGGUGUUCUCACCGGUGCACUCGGCCGUGCUCAGGCCAGCAUCGGUUUUGGCGGCUGGAUAAAGGCCCUAGGAAUGUGGCUCCUCUCGGGGAGUGUUAUAGCCUAGGGUGCAAUGCAGCCUGCUGGGACCGAGGACCGCGCUUCGGCUAGGAUGCUGGCGUAAUGGUUGUAAGCGGCCCGUCUUGAAACACGGACCAAGGAGUCUAACAUCUAUGCGAGUGUUUGGGUGUCAAACCCAUACGCGUAAUGAAAGUGAACGGAGGUGAGAACCCUUAAGGGUGCAUCAUCGACCGAUCCUGAUGUCUUCGGAAGGAUUUGAGUAAGAGCAUAGCUGUUGGGACCCGAAAGAUGGUGAACUAUGCCUGAAUAGGGUGAAGCCAGAGGAAACUCUGGUGGAGGCUCGCAGCGGUUCUGACGUGCAAAUCGAUCGUCAAAUUUGGGUAUAGGGGCGAAAGACUAAUCGAACCAUCUAGUAGCUGGUCUG